UACGUAGGGUGCGAGCGUUAAUCGGAAUUACUGGGCGUAAAGCGUGCGCAGGCGGUGAUGUAAGACAGGUGUGAAAUCCCCGGGCUUAACCUGGGAACUGCAUUUGUGACUGCAUCGCUGGAGUACGGCAGAGGGGAUGGAAUUCCGCGUGUAGCAGUGAAAUGCGUAGAUAUGCGGAGGAACACCGAUGGCGAAGGCAAUCCCCGUGGCCUGUACUGACGCUCAUGCACGAAAGCGUGGGAGCAAACAGG
rnacentral:rRNA from 1 species